GUCUACGGCCAUACCACCCUGAACGCGCCCGAUCUCGUCUAAUCUCGGAAGCUAAGCAGGGUCGGGCCUGGUUAGUACUUGGAUGGGAGAAGUCACUUCUUAGUAAGUC
rnacentral:rRNA from 1 species